GAUGAACGCUGGCGGCGUGCCUAAUACAUGCAAGUCGAGCGAACGGACGAGAAGCUUGCUUCUCUGAUGUUAGCGGCGGACGGGUGAGUAACACGUGGAUAACCUACCUAUAAGACUGGGAUAACUUCGGGAAACCGUAGCUAAUACCGGAUAAUAUUUUGAACCGCAUGGUUCAAAAGUGAAAGACGGUCUUGCUGUCACUUAUAGAUGGAUCCGCGCUGCAUUAGCUAGUUGGUAAGGUAACGGCUUACCAAGGCAACGAUGCAUAGCCGACCUGAGAGGGUGAUCGGCCCCACUGGAACUGAGACACGGUCAAGACCCCUACGGGAGGCAGCAGUAGGGAAUCUUCCGCAAUGGGCGAAAGCCUGACGGAGCAACGCCGCGUGAGUGAUGAAGGUCUUCGGAUCGUAAAACUCUGUCAUUAGGGAAGAACAUAUGUGUAAGUAACUGUGCACAUCUUGACGGUACCUAAUCAGAAAGCCACGGCUAACUACGUG
rnacentral:rRNA from 1 species